AGUAAUUUUAAUUACGAUGGAUCGCCUUCUCCACGCGCGUUGCAAGGGCCGGUAGGAGGAGCAUGUGCAAGCGGCCGGAGUAGCGGUGGUGACUACUCGAGGAUGCGAUGGCGCCGUCGUCGACCUCGUAUCCUCCGUUGAGUUCUGCAUCGACCGAACGUGUCCCUCAGCAGCUGAGGGUGGGAAGUGUAAGGGGUCUGGGUUUUUCGAUUUGACUCACAAGAUUCAGCAAAUUAUGUGAUUGAAAAACGGCAUGGCUCCUUCUCCGACUAAAAAUUGUAAGAAGCAAUAAUAAGCCAAACAGACUUUCAUUUGAUUGAUGAAAAAGGUUGGCAUAGCAGCAUUCAACUAACAAAUUCGCAACACCCACUUUCUAUUUCUUCAGGAUUCUAGCUUGUGUCUAGUUCAUUUCCAACAGUAGAUUUUCUCACAUGAUGGAUUGCAAGUCAUGGUGACAUUUGGUGGUUGGCCACAACUCGCAGACCAUGUAUAUCUAGAAUGACGGCAAUUAUCUCAGAGUUUGCGGUUUCAAGAAAGGCCACAAGGUUAAGAAUCGAAGGGAGGCACUGUAAGUUUGCUGUUUGAUGACAUAAAUUCCUCAAAUUCUUGUAGAUUUGUGUCUGUUGGAAGCCGAAUCCUUGAAUUUGUGGAGCAUAUAAGACCAUUCAUGGGCUGGCAAAUUAGAUCUGUGCAUUUUGUCUCCCAAAAAAAAAAAAAGAUUAAUCCAGACCAUAUUUUUGUAAAAUCUGUUUUGCGAAAGAAGGAAAAUAAUCACUUAGUCAGAAAUAUAUUUUGCAAAAGGAAAAGGGGAAACGGAGGAAGCCUACCUACAUUGGAAGAUUGAACCUCUUUAUUCAUGCCCCGACAGGAAUGCUUGCAAAGGAAAGACAAACUACUACUGCUCUCCUAUGUGUGCAUCAUCAAUAGCGCUUCAGCGUUCUGUUACUUUUUUUAUUUUUUGCUUGUUUUCCUUCUCUCUUUUCUGCGUCCUCGAUGGAUUGCUCGAGAAAGAGAAGACAUGGAUGCAUGACAACUCUGGGAAAUCGCUCUGACUUUUGUGUGUUUUCCUCUCUUAUUCUUCUCUCUUUUCUUGACAGGGAACCACGCUGCCUUGGACCCCGGCACCGACAGCGACGGGAAGGCCGGAGGCAGACGGGGACGGUGUGGUCGCCAUCAUCAACCCGUGGUGUGGGAAGCGAGGCGGAGGAGGAGGAGGAGCUGCCUGCCUGCCUGCCUUGUGCAUGCCCCCCUAUCUCUUUUCUCUCUCUCUCUCUCUCACAGCCCCACCCAGGACAACAAGCAUGGGACGCCGAGCCCGGGCAGCUCCCAAUCAUAAAGCAAUGGAGUGCCAUAUCAUUUCCUCCCCACCUCGGUCCUCGCGCUCCUGCUCUGGACCCCCCCCACUCCCCCGAGGGAUGGGCUGACCUGAGCCUACUGUUCCCUCUCGCGCUCCUCAUGCGUCCCUUUCCAUGCUGUUUCUUUUCGUCCCCACCCCCCUUACUCUCUUAAUCUCCUUAAUUUUGGAUUUCUCUUUGGUUUUGCUGCAUUGGCAUAUGAAAUCCUUCACGUCCAUGUUUGUUUGAUGCGGUCCACUUGAAAGCCCUUCAGAUGUAGUGUUCCGGCUUCCACGUCUUCAGCUUGAGAGCCAAUCCAUUUCUUCUUCCUUGUAACAUUCUGACAAAUCACAAUCGAGGUUUCAAUUCUUCCAUGCAAUGAAUAGGAGGAGUCUGAAUCACCGCAGAGGUGCAGGAACCAAAGGCUUGCGUUCCCAAAACGCAGCUGCACCGGAGAGGGGAAAUCGUCAACGAGCCUUCUCUGACCUCUGUUACACCAUUUUGACGAGGACAUCACCUACACUAUGGAUAGGCCACCAUGCCCCGUGUUGACCAAGGAGCCUCCCAACGUUGACUCGGGCCCACCACACAGAAUAAGAGAGAGAGAGAGAGAGAGAGAGAGCACAGUGGUCUAUGGAGGGGAGUCAUGGGGAAGAGCUACAGCACGGCAAAGGACUGGUGAAUGCAAGGGAUCGAAGAGGGGUCACCUCAAUGGGCCCCCCCCCCUCGGGCCGACAGGCUCUGAUGCAUCCCUCCACAGCGUCAACACCAAGGACGGGCGGACGGACUGGACUGGACUGGACUGGACUGACCACACGCUGCUGUCGCUCUCACCCUCUCUUCCUCGUCUUUGCCGCCAGCGAAGAAAGAGGGGGAGAAGCAUGAGAAGCCGAGAGUAAAAAAAAAAAAAGGCAGGAGGUUUGGAACCUUACGAGCGAACGCAGAUAUCAUCAUGUGACAAUCAUUCUUUUAUAAUUUGAGUUCUACAGGUCCGGGAGGGAAGUAAAAGAAAAGGUUUUGCUUUUCUUUUGAGGCCACCAGCAGGAGUGUCAGUAAAAGAAAAGAAGAGAGAGAGAGAGAGAGAGAGAGAAAUAAUCUCAAGUCUUAAAAGCUAUCCAAAUGCUGAUGUACGAUGACCUCUGAAAAGAGGUCUUUUAUCAUCCACCUGCUCUCCUCCUAAAGGAACAAAAGGUGGCUCAGGCUACUACUGUAAGAUGUCAUGUAUCCACCAUAUAUGUGUAGAGUUUAGCAACUUGGAAGCCAUGACAUGGGAAUUAGCAUCUUGUGACUCGCACAGCACAGCGUUUUGUACGAUUGCUUCUCUGUAGGAUUUGAUGCAGCUGCAGAAAG